rnacentral:rRNA from 1 species
UACGUAGGGUGCAAGCGUUAAUCGGAAUUACUGGGCGUAAAGCGUGCGCAGGCGGUGAUGUAAGACAGGUGUGAAAUCCCCGGGCUUAACCUGGGAACUGCAUUUGUGACUGCAUUGCUGGAGUGCGGCAGAGGGGGAUGGAAUUCCGCGUGUAGCAGUGAAAUGCGUAGAUAUGCGGAGGAACACCGAUGGCGAAGGCAAUCCCCUGGGCCUGCACUGACGCUCAUGCUCGAAAGCGUGGGAGCAAACAGG